AUGAAUAUCAGUACGGGGGGGGGGGGGGGGACUCGCGUCGGUACCGUGUUGUCGUCGUCGUCGUUUUGUCGUGGUCCCGGUAGAACGCGCGCCGCCGCGCGCCUCACCUCAGAUGAACCCGGUAACCCCGCGCGCGCGCGCGCGCCCGCGGGCGGCGGAGACGUCGAACGGGCCCGUCUGCUCGUGGAUCGAUGCGAACUUUCUAAACUCCCCGUCGUCAGAAAUGGACGUUUCUCUCUCUCUCUCUCUCUCUCUCUCUCUCUCUCUCUCUGUUUCUUUCUUUUUUUCUUGCUGUUAAAUGAUUUGUGUAUUUACACGUUAAACUCGCGCCGCUCCUUCCUCCCGCCGAAACAACGUUCCGGUCCGGCCACCGUCUCCCGGAGCGAACCGCCGCUGGAGCCCCACCCAUAAACGCUGCUGGAACACGCCGGCGUACCUCCGCGGUCACGAUUUCAACACCUCGGCAUUUCCCCCACGCUGCGCCCGGCGAGGGAGAGAGACUAGCCCCCCACCCCCCGCAUUGAGCCGCGGCCCCUCCUCCUCCCGAUGCUGCAGCGGCACAGCCAGGCAUGGGACCUCCGUCUUGGCACAAAGGGAGCUGCUCUAUCUGCAUACGCCGCGCAUAAAGGGCCCUUUUGUCACGGGCUUGGCGCACAUGACCGUACUCGCCCCUCCCCGGCCCGACUGCCCUCCCCCGUGCCAAACCUCGCCAGCGCUUUGCCUCUCUCAACAUAAACCCCAAGAAAGAAGGAAUAACCGGAGACCUUCCUGUCCCUCAGUGGACCCCUCCACCCCGCGCCCGCCUCGUCCCCAUUUGUCCUCGAUGGAUUCGUGACUCGCGGGGGGGGGUUGCUGCGGCGUGACUGGCAUAAUUCCAGCGCACCACCCUCUGGAGCCUGGGCAGAUGGAGGGGAGCUGCCACCGGGUCCGCCCCCUCCGGCUUCGGACUCUUCUCCGUAUCACGGACACGUGACCCCUUCCCCCGCCGCCUCGGGACGAUAAAGUCUGCCUAAUCUGCGUCAUGGCAACCACUUGUUGACCCUCUGUGUUCCUCUCCCACAAUAGCCGCAUUAUGUAGGGUGGC
rnacentral:lncRNA from 1 species